CGACACUAUUCAUUCGCCAGAGUUUGCGGUUUCUUCUUCCCCUCUCGCUCGCUGAAAUCGCCCCCAAAUCCACCCGUUGCCGCUGCCCAAAUUCGCCUCGCCGCUGCCCAAAUCGGUGCUCUCGAGCGGGGUUCGGCAUCGCAGGGGGUCGCCGGUUGGAGUUGUUGUCCCGCACGGCACGCUGGCCGCGGGGAGCGGCUCUCGCUCGCGAGCUCGGCGACCGUGCAAUGCUCGACUCGCGGGGUGGGGGACUGUUGCGAAGUGAGAUUGCCCUCAUUUUGUGCGGUUGCGAAGGAAGGAGACGGUACUGCGACGCGAAGGUAAAGAUGACUAAACCAAGUAAAAAGUGUGAUCGACAGCAGUCAGCAGAGUCAUCGCUUGACUCGGNNNNNNNNNNNNNNNNNNNNNNNNNNNNNNNNNNNNNNNNNGUACCUAUAGCAGAGGAGCAAGGUGUUUCAACAGGUCAUGUUUACAAACGCAAGCGCCAGAAAUUGGUCAUAACCCGGGGGAAGCGGCCUGCGGAUAUUGGAAGUAACGAAGAAGAACCAGUAGGAGAUGUCAAUGAAGCUGAUGUUACACAAGAUGCAGAACAAAAGAAAAAACGACGAAAAGUGACUGAAAAUGAGGGUCCUAGGAACAGGUCAUCACCUACGAGGCUUUUUAAGUUGAACAAGGAUCUUGUCAAAGACCAAAAAAGUAUUAUCAGAGGCAUAGACUUUGGGGGCUUGUUGGAUAUCACAACUACAAGCAUGCCCGGUGAUCUCAGACAGUGGAUCAUGAAACACUACGACCCAGAAAAGUCUCAAAUUGUUAUACCAGAUAGAGGCAAAAUACCAGUGGAUGCAGAAAGUGUUAGGAGGAUUUGGGGUUUGCCCAACAGUGGCAGGAAAGUAUGUUUUGAAAUGAAUCCAGAUGUUAUAAGGGAAUUCAACAGUAUUUUCAAGAUCGAGGGAAAAAUGCCCCUACAUUGACUUCAUGGUGUAAAAUGAUUGUGAAGAUGAAUGGGGCGUCCGAUGACAUUUUCCUCCAUGCUUGGUUGGCCGUGGCAUUCUCCUGCUUCCUUGCCCCAACCACAAGCUUGAGCAUCUCACCAAGGUGUUACACUGCUAUUCUUCACACAAGUGCUAUAAAAGACACCAAGAUAUGCGACUUUGUUAUUGAUCAACUUAGAUUGGCAUUCAUGGGUUUUGGUGACAAGAAGAAGGUUGUUUGCUAUUGUGUUUUCCAUCUAGUUAUUUUGUAUCUGGAUUCAUUGGAUGUUGAUGAACCAAUAACUGCUACACUUCCAAGGGCACGCAUUUGGAAUGCUGAUCUAAUAACCAAAGUGAUGCGGAGCAUCCCUCGACUACCCGCACCGACACUCCAUCACCACUGCAAGCACCGAGAGGACCAAUGACAAGAGCACAUGCACGUGACAUCGAGAACGAGGUCAAUUCUAUCCUCUUUGAGUUUCGUUUGGUUUCACAUGAAAAUUAGAUCCUACCUCAAAGAGACUCGCUAUGCAUUCUUAGGCACCAAGAAGAUGAUCGUGAGAAGGAGAAGACGGAGACUCGAGCAUCCACGGAGCAAGGGAGAGGAGAGGAGAACAAGAAGAAUGAAGGAGAGAAGCUCUUGGACACGCCGGGUGCCUGGACGAAAGGACCCCGGGUGCCCGGACACGAAGACUUGGGGAGGUCUGAACCCCCUGGACAUCCCGGGUGCCCGGCCUCUGCCUGGGCUGCACCCAAGCCGGCUCCGGGUGCCCGGGCACACGGCCCCGGGUGCCCGGGCACAUGGCCCCGGGUGCCCGACCCACCUCUUGGGCCUCGCUCAGCCUGCCCCAGGUGCCCCGCUAACCGGCCCCGGCUGCCCGACCCUUGCCCACCAGCCGCUGGGCGCCACCCCGGGUGCCCGGCCAGCCCCUGACCUGGCCGGGUGCCCGGCUCCUUCGCCACCGGGUGCCCGGUCCCGCUCGAGCGUAGGUCUUUGACCGGUCCGGGUGCCUGGCCGGUUCCUCCCCGGGUGCCCGAACCCUUCUUCCGUGGCCACACAUUUUAGGACUUUUUGGUCUUUUGUACCCCUCUUUCUCCUAGUUUCGUCCCUAGCCUUUAUAUACUUAUCUCCUAGCUCAUUUGGAAGGUUAGCAAAGUAUUAGAUAAAACAUUGAGAGCUUUGCUCCUUGUAUCCCCUCCUCUUGGAGAUCAAGACCCCUCUUGGGAAGAAUCCUUGUGGAUUGCAAGACCUCCCGAGGGAGUAGAUCAUCAUCAAGACUUCACCUCCUCUAGGAGUGGGAAGAACUUUACCUAGUGCUUGUUUCCUUGGAUUGAUCUUGUAAUCUUGUGGUUCUCAUGUAUGCUACUCUAGUGGAUGUGA
rnacentral:rRNA from 1 species